rfam:Peniophora sp. CONT PENSPscaffold_214_Cont308, whole genome shotgun sequence.
GGCCCAAUGGUCUAGUCGUAUGAUUCCUGCUUCGGGUUCUACCCGGUACUUCAUCAGUACUUAACCUGCAGGAGGUCCCGGGUUCAAUUCCCGGUUGAGCCC